rnacentral:rRNA from 1 species
AUUGAACGCUGGCGGCAUGCUUUACACAUGCAAGUCGAACGGCAGCACGGACUUCGGUCUGGUGGCGAGUGGCGAACGGGUGAGUAAUACAUCGGAACGUGCCUAGUAGUGGGGGAUAACUACUCGAAAGAGUGGCUAAUACCGCAUGAGAUCUACGGAUGAAAGCAGGGGAUCGCAAGACCUUGCGAUACUAGCACGGCCGAUGGCAGAUUAGGAAGUUUGUGGGAUACAAGCUUACCCAGCCGACGAUCUGUAGCUGGUCGGAGAGGACGAUCAUGCACACCGGGAAUGAGACACGGCACAGAAGCCUACAGGAGGCAGCAGUGGGGAAUUUUGGACAAUGGGCGCAAGCCUGAUCCAGCAAUGCCGCGUGCAGGAUGAAGGCCUUCGGGUUGUAAACUGCUUUUGUACGGAACGAAAAGCCCUGGGUUAAUACCCUGGGGUCAUGACGGUACCGUAAGAAUAAGCACCGGCUAACUACGUGCCAGCAGCCGCAGUAAUAC